UUAAUACUCCCUCCGUCCGAAAAUACUUGUCCUAGAAAUAGAUGUAUCUAGAUUUAUUUUAGAUAUACAUACAUCCAAUUUAUCCAUUUGGAGAACAAAUAUUACUGGAUAGAGGGAGUACCUA
rfam:Triticum urartu cultivar G1812 contig208714, whole genome shotgun sequence.